rnacentral:rRNA from 1 species
UCUGAGACCCGAAAGAUGGUGAACUAUGCCUGAGUGGAACGAAGCCAGGAGAAAUUCUGGUGGAAGUUCGAAGCGGUUUUGACGUGCAAAUCAAUCGCCAAACUUUGGUAUAGGGGCGAAAGACUAAUCGAACCAUCUAGUAGCUGGUUCCCUCCGAAGUUUCCCUCAGGAAAGCUGGCGUUCACAAAUAGUUUUACCUGGUAAAGCUAAUGAUUGGAGGGAUCGGAGUUGCAAUAUCUUUGACCUACUCUCAAACUUAAAACGGAUAAGUACUUACUCGCUUCUUCAAUGAGCAGUAAGACAAAAUAGAGAGCGCCAAGAGGGCCGUUUUUGGUAAGCAGAACCGGCGCUGUGGGAUGAACUGAACGACGAGCUAAGGUGCCCGACGCACUUCUCAAGAGACGCCAUGAAAGGUGUUAGUUGAUAUUGACAGCAGGACGGUGGCCAUGGAAGUCGGCAUCUGCUAAGGAGUGUGUAACUACUCACCUGCCGAAUCAACUAGCCCUGAAAAUGGAUGGCGCUAUAGACGUGGACCUAUGCUCCAGCAUUGGUAUUUCUAUGUUGUAGCCGUCUGUGCUACUACAAAAAAGACCUUCCAAUGUGUAGGAGGGCGUAGACGUUGACUUUGAAGCGUACGGUGUAAACCGGCGUGGAGUCGGCGCUAGUGCAGAUCUUA